UACGUAGGGGGCAAGCGUUGUCCGGAUUUAUUGGGCGUAAAGCGCGCGCAGGCGGUGCGGUAAGUCCGUCGUGAAAUCUCCCGGCUCAACUGGGAGGGUGCGGUGGAGACUGCCGGACUGGAGGCACUCAGAGGCCGGUGGAAUUCCCGGUGUAGUGGUGAAAUGCGCAGAUAUCAGGAGGAACACCGGUGGCGAAGGCGGGUCUCUGGGCCGAUACUGACGCUGAGGAGCGAAAGCGUGGGGAGCGAACAGG
rnacentral:rRNA from 1 species